rnacentral:rRNA from 1 species
AGGAUGAACGCUGGCGGCGUGCCUAACACAUGCAAGUCGAGCGGUAUAUACUGGAACGAAACUUCGGUCUAGAGAAGGUAUAGAGAGCGGCGGACGGGUGAGUAACGCGUAGGCAACCUGCCCCAUACAGAGGGAUAGCCUCGGGAAACCGGGAUUAAAACCUCAUAAUACGAAAGCUUCACAUGUUGCUUUCGUCAAAGAUUUAUCGGUAUGGGAUGGGCCUGCGUCUGAUUAGCUAGUUGGUGAGGUAACGGCUCACCAAGGCGACGAUCAGUAGCCGACCUGAGAGGGUAAUCGGCCACAUUGGAACUGAGACACGGUCCAAACUCCUACGGGAGGCAGCAGUGGGGAAUAUUGCACAAUGGGCGAAAGCCUGAUGCAGCAACGCCGCGUGAGCGAUGAAGGCCUUUGGGUCGUAAAGCUCUGUCCUUGGGGAAGAAAAAAAUGACGGUACCCAUGGAGGAAGCCCCGGCUAACUACGUG